rnacentral:rRNA from 1 species
CCUACGGGAGACAGCAGUCGAGAAUCAUUCACAAUGGGGGAAACCCUGAUGGUGCGACGCCGCGUGGGGGAAUGAAGGUCUUCGGAUUGUAAACCCCUGUUAUGUGGGAGCAAAUUAAAAAGAUAGUACCACAAGAGGAAUAGACGGCUAACUCUGUGCCAGCAGCUGCGGUAAUACAGAGGUCUCAAGCGUUGUUCGGAAUCACUGGGCGUAAAGCGUGCGUAGGCUGUUUCGUAAGUCGUGUGUGAAAGGCGCGGGCUCAACCCGCGGACGGCACAUGAUACUGCGAGACUAGAGUAAGGGAGGGGGAACCGGAAUUCUCGGUGUAGCAGUGAAAUGCGUAGAUAGCGAGAGGAACACUCGUGGCGAAGGCGGGUUCCUGGACAUUAACUGACGCUGAGGCACGAAGGCGAGGGGAGCGAAAGGGAUUAGAUACCCGAGUAGUC